AUUCCAGUUUGUGUGGGUUGUUUUUUGCAUUUUCCUCUCUACACCACCAGGCGGUGCCCUGUCCUCGUUGGGCCUCCCUGCACACCUGCGGCUCAUUGGGUCAUUACCAGAGGAAUACUUGAGCAGUGGGAUCUCACCACCUCGACACCAGAGUGUUUGCCAGUAUUGGAAAGACUUCCUGUGUUACUGGAUAAGCCUGGACCUUCUACCCCUGGAAGGAUUUACUGAGUCUCACUGAGCAAGGGGAAAACCUCCACAUGAUCCGUUCAAGUCCACUCCUGGAAAACCAAGUGACAUUCCGCUCCUUUACUCCUCUGGGUACAAGGUAUGUCUGCCUGUCUGCUCUCCAAUGAGUUCCCUCUUCUCUGGAUUAAACCCCCACAAACUGGAUCCAAGGAUAACCCAAGAGCACCCCAAAAAAGUUUCCGGUUCCGGUUCACCAGUCCGCUGAGUUCCAGCAUUGUUUCCCCACAGAGUUACAAUCUGCAUCAGUGUUUGCUAACCUACAAUAAACCUGUAAAACUUCU